rnacentral:rRNA from 1 species
CCUACGGGUGGCUGCAGUGAGGAAUAUUGGUCAAUGGACGAGAGUCUGAACCAGCCAAGCCGCGUGAAGGACGACUGCCCUAUGGGUUGUAAACUUCUUUUAUAUGGGAAUAAAACGUUCCACGUGAGGGUGUUUGUAUGUACCAUAUGAAUAAGGAUCGGCUAACUCCGUGCCAGCAGCCGCGGUAAUACGGAGGAUCCGAGCGUUAUCCGGAUUUAUUGGGUUUAAAGGGAGCGUAGGUGGAGUGUUAAGUCAGUUGGGAAAGUUUUGGGCUCAACCGUAAAAUUGCAGUUGAAACUGGCAGUCUUGAGUACAGUAGAGGUGUGCGGAAUUCGUGGUGUAGCGGUGAAAUGCUUAGAUAUCACGAAGAACUCCGAUUGCGAAGGCAGUACACUGGCCUGCAACUGACACUGAGGCUCGAAAGUGUGGGUAUCAAACAGGAUUAGAUACCCCGGUAGUC